rnacentral:lncRNA from 1 species
AAAAAGAAAAAAGAAAAAAACAAGUUCCAGGGGAAGAAGAAGGGUGGGGGAGGAGUGGAGAGAAGUACAGGGGCAUAAAAAGAAAGGAAAACAAGCGUGUGUGCAUAACGAGCCUGGAGAGACCUUUUGUGUCAGGCUCCUGUGAGACUUGAUGCUCCUGAGAAACCUCUUGGGAGCUCCUCCGCAGAGAAAUGAGAACAGAACCCUUUCUAGAAGCUUUGAAUUAACAGAUGAGUACAUUGCAAAGAAAGGACCCUAUUUUCUGUUUAUUUCUGUUCGUUUCCUGUGACUGAUUUUAUUGUUCCUAAUUACACCAUAAUUAUUAAAUACCCUCUGGACUUUAGUACCAAACAAGAGACGAUCAAGAAGAAUGACUUACAGAGGAACUAAAGGAUAACUUCAAAUUAAUGUGUACUAAAUGUUUGGUUUACAACAAAUCAGAGAACAUUUAUUAUAAAGCUGCAAGAUGCUAUUGCAAACAGAGAUAAAAGCUCUUAGCCAAAGAAUAUAGAGCCUGAAGCAGAGGGUAGACUUCAUGGCAAACUUGCAAAGAACUCAAAAGCAGAAACAUAAAAGAACACUCAGCAGACCAGGGAGGAUACAAGAUGAUAAAGAUACUGAUGUCAAUACCUUUAAAAAUUGUAGUAAGGAAAACAAACUAAGCAAAUUUAAUUUAAUUUAAUUUAAUGUAAAAUGACAAAGAUAUUCUUGAAGAUAAAUUUAGAAGCAAUAAUUUAGAAAAAUAAUAGGAGCAGAUUGAACACAUCGUUAAGGAAUUUGGAGGAAAACCGGCCAGAAAACUUAAGAGUUGGAAGGAAAAGAACCAGAUGGGACUUUUCUGUUCUGUUAAUCUUGUAGUGGGAGAAUGAGGCUACUGCUCUGUGAAGACAGGAAAUGAAAACUGAAGGAUUUCAGUCUGGAGUGAAUAACGUGCAAGAAGAUAGCAGGAAAAAAAGUGAUAAUCUAGUGAUAUUCUGUUUUUAUAAAGCACAUACUGAUGCCAUCUUUGCAAAUCUUAACAAGAGUAAUUUUGACAUAGUCUUCUGGAUUUAUGAGGGAAAACAUUCUUUCAAGUGCUCUUAGUAUCCAUGAUAUUUGACCACAUGCCAAGAUUACCCAUAUGCUGUAUAAAUAAUUUAGUGAAUGUUCUAAGCAAAAGGCAUUCUAGAAUUUUCCAAGAGUUGGAGAACAUCACUUAAAGAUGAAGGCCAGAAUAGGACACGUGACAUAGCAAAAGACAUGGAGGUUAUCAAAAUUGAUCCAGGUUGUUUAGACUCUGAAUAAUCAAGACAGGUUCAUGGCACAGAGUGCAGUGGAAUAAUAGCACUCCAGGUGAAAGUUUUGACUAAACAUGCUCAAGUAUUCAGCUGAAGGAAACUUGAUGAAACCACCAAAUUAGUCAGUGAGCUCCAGGAGACUCAGAGCAUCUGAGCAUCAGGCCUGCUCUCAACAUUAUCUGUCUCCGAUGGCCUCUUACAGAGCCAUGUAUCUUGCUGAACAAGUGACCAACAGUCUGAAAAAUUGUACAAUUCCAAAUUAUAAGCAUGUAUGGAGUUGAAAAAGCAAUGGGGAUUUCCAUUCUUUCCUCCAACACUGAAUACAACUUUGUAGCUUUAACA